CGAGAAAACCGAAGGAGUCCUCUCUUCUCCUUCUCCUUCUCCUUCUCCUUCUCCAUCUCCACAUGAGAGAGCAAAAAUGAAGGUUGAAGCAGCUCCUAAAUCUGGAAAGAAAGGUAAGAGAGGCUGAAGAAUCUCAUGAGAGACAAGUGGAUGUUAAAAGGCAGAAGAAAAGCAAAGGUGCAGCACAGGCUAUUGUAAAGAAGAAGGUUGAAGCUAAGAGGAAGAAGAAAUAUGAAACUAGUUCUUCUGAUGAUGACUCUUCUGAUUCUGAAUAUGUAUGGACAAACCCACUACCGGUUUACUUAUGGUGCU